UCAUAUUUCUUGUUAUAUAUUUUUCCUCGUUGGGUGCAACAAACUCAAUAAGUGCAACUACCUAGAUUUCUAUUAGUUCGUACUGUAUAUUAAAAAGACGAAGAUGUAAUGGACAAAACUGAUUUGCGUAUAGGAAAAGGCUUGGAACUUCCCCUCACGAAACGACGGAACAUAUCCACAAAUGCGUGCGACCAGCGGCAGUAUUUCCUAUAUUGAAUCAUGCGCCACUCUCCGUUUCUUUGCUGAGGGUAAUUGUCAGAAAUCCAGUGAGAAUGAUUUUAACGUUAGACUUGAGAAAUCUACGAAGGAGAUUAUAAAUAUUAAGGAAAAGCGUGACUGCUGAUGAUGAAAAAGCGCUUCAUAAUUAACAUUUCACUUUAUUUUUUUUAAGUACAUUUGUGGUAAUAGUAGGUGCUAUAGAUUCAUCACGUUCGCGUUAACCCCAAAAACACUCAGUUUUAUUUUUGAUACUUCUGGAUUGCGUUUUGCUCGCCCAGCUUCGGGAUAUUCCUCAAUCAGUUUUAGCCACGCUUCGUAGCUUGAUCCUAAUUUAAACGAUUUCGAACGGUUUAUGGUGAUUUGACUCGCGCGCAAUCGAAACAGUAGUAGCAUGACGGUCGGACUUGACGAUUUCCAUUUUUCAUCAAUUGGCAUUCUAGAGGGUUGUUUAUAUUUGACAUCGAAAUUCCCAGAACGGAAUCGAGAAGUUUAUUUAGUACGAAAUCUUAUUUUUAUCGUCAUACAACGUAAGAUGCAGAUUUCUAAAGCCGUCUAUUGCAAAAAUUUCUUUUUACUCGGCCUAUUAUAACCUUUACGGCAAAAUCCAUAUUUUUUCUGGGUAUUGGACGAAACAGAUUUCAUUCUUCGAAAAUUGAAAAUAUUUGCCUUCGAAUUUCAAAAUUUAGCACCUAGAACGUCUUGUUUCAAGAAGGCUUCGUUUGGAGUUUCUCGUUCCGAAACUGACACAGGUUGGGCUUUUUCGGUUAUUAUUAUUAAAUUUUUUCCCGGAUUACCCACAUUUAUCGCCGCACUUACAUGCAUAUAA